GGUCGAGUGGUGUAGUGGUUAUCACGUCUGCUUCACAUGAGUGCGCAGAAGGCCCCGGGUUCAAUCCCCGGUUUGACCU